UACGGGGGGGGCAAGCGUUGUUCGGAAUUACUGGGCGUAAAGGGCUCGUAGGUGGCCAACUAAGUCGGACGUGAAAUCCCUCGGCUUAACCGGGGAACUGCGUCCGAUACUGGUUGGCUUGAGUUUGGGAGAGGGAUGCGGAAUUCCAGGUGUAGCGGUGAAAUGCGUAGAUAUCUGGAGGAACACCGGUGGCGAAGGCGGCAUCCUGGACCAAUAUUGACGCUGAGGAGCGAAAGCCAGGGGAGCAAACGGG
rnacentral:rRNA from 1 species